GACGAACGCUGGCGGCGUGCUUAACACAUGCAAGUCGAACGGAAAGGCCCUGCUUGCAGGGUGCUCGAGUGGCGAACGGGUGAGUAACACGUGGGUGAUCUGCCCCUUACUUUGGGAUAAGCCUGGGAAACUGGGUCUAAUACUGGAUAGGACCAUGCUGUAGGUGGUGUGGUGGAAAGAUUAGUUUCGGUAAGGGAUGAGCUCGCGGCCUAUCAGCUUGUUGGUGGGGUAAUGGCCUACCAAGGCGUCGACGGGUAGCCGGCCUGAGAGGGUGGACGGCCACAUUGGGUCUGAGAUACGGCCCAGACUCCUACGGGAGGCAGCAGUGGGGAAUAUUGCACAAUGGGCGCAAGCCUGAUGCAGCGACGCCGCGUGGGGGAUGACGGCCUUCGGGUUGUAAACUCCUUUCAGCCAUGACGAAGCCCUUGUGGUGACGGUAGUGGUAGAAGAAGCACCGGCUAACUACGUG
rnacentral:rRNA from 1 species